UACGGGGGGGGCAAGCGUUGUUCGGAAUUACUGGGCGUAAAGGGCUCGUAGGUGGCCAACUAAGUCAGACGUGAAAUCCCUCGGCUUAACCGGGGAACUGCGUCUGAUACUGGAUGGCUUGAGUUCGGGAGAGGGAUGCGGAAUUCCAGGUGUAGCGGUGAAAUGCGUAGAUAUCUGGAGGAACACCGGUGGCGAAGGCGGUUCUCUGGGCCUUACCUGACGCUGAGGAGCGAAAGCAUGGGGAGCAAACAGG
rnacentral:rRNA from 1 species